GAUGCCUUUCCCUGCCUGCUGUAAUGACCUGAAAUGAUUGUUUUGUAAAAGAACUAAAGCUGCAAAAUGCAGAAAACCUUCAGAAUACAGCAAUCUGCUUCCUAAUACCUCCCGUGUGAGUGGUUUCUGAGUAUGCAAGCUACGUUGUGAAGAUCACUCAAAACCUUAGCUUGCCAGGCUUUCUUGAAAACCCAGAUUGCUUUCUCCCAGAUUCAGAGCCCUCACGAUGAAGCUUUUUGAAUUGAUCGCUACUUUCUGAGUAGAUGUAAGAUGCCUAGGAGCCGAUUAAGGAAAAAAACCACUGUUUGUAAUUGUAUCAUUAACUGGCAAUUGCCUCCUCUCUUUCCCUCGCGUUGGUUGAAGUAUUUUAAUUUGAAUGCGCUUAAACGUUAAUUAUGAGCCAAAUGCUUCAAGGAACAAAAAAAGAGGCAAACGGAUUUUGCAGCCUCUUGCAUGCAAAAUAUACCGUUUGCAAACUCUCGUUAGAAAUUCACUAUAUAUUGUUUGCUUGGCAAUUCAUCAUCACGUUGGGCUUCAAAUAAAAGGCCACCGUGACUACGUAGCAUCGCUGCACGUGCUGCUUGGUGGAGGACUGCAGCAGCAUUAGACAGCUGACGCUGAGAACUGGAAGUAUUUGAUAAGCGGUGGGAAAAUUUCAGUUAAACGGCUGCCUUCCACUCUGAUUUCAUAAAGGACUUUUAUGGAAGAAUAACUAAAAUUGCCUCUGCUGCUUACACUUUUUUAGUUUCUCAAACUUUGGAAUGGGCCGUUGAAGCUUUUUUUUUGGCUCCCCCAGUUGAUAUCUUUCAGGACUGUGGGUCUAUAACCUCUUCUAAAGCUUUGUUCCUUUCUACACGGAAAGCUAAUGCACUGUGGAUAGCUUAAUUCAGUCACAUAAUGGGUGGUUGUAAUUAUACUCGAUAUUGAAAAAUACGCUGUGAUAGGAAAAUAUUUGUGAAGCGGCUCAAAAUGUUGAAUUGCUGUCUAGUUCAUCUGCCGAAAUUGUGAAUGGCGAGCGGAAAGGUGGAAAUAAUUUGUCUCCAUUAAACUGAUCACUCUUUUCCAAGGAGCUGCCAAAAGUUCAAGCGCCGAAACUGUUACAAAUGGGGAGACCUGAAAAAUCGAGGACAGCCUCCGAUGUUCUGUAAUUAAAUCAGCCUUUUGUCUGCAGCUCUCGCUUCUGGUGAUGGACGGGGUGACUGUUGCUAAGCUGUGGGUAUACACCGCACACUCAGGGCUUACACAGUGUGUACAGAAACCACCGUGUGUGCUCUCCCAAGGAGCCAAAUGUAAAUCGUUACGUGUAGACCUCUUGGAUGAUGUACUCUUUAAUGAACUACCUUCCUUUGGGGCCCUCCCUCCCGUUACUGCCUUAUGUUGCUUUUAUUAACUUACUGUUGGCGCGGGGAUUGCCAGGAUGACUGCAUCCAAGUUUUGAGGCAAAAAGACACAUUUUAGUGCUCCAGUUAAAAGCUGCGCUGCUGC